GAGCGUAUAGCUCAGGGAUAGAGUGCGUGCUUAGCAUGCAUGAGGUCCUGGGUUCAGUUCCCAGUACCUCCA
rnacentral:tRNA from 1 species